GACAUGGUCAGCAACAAUACUCAGGUAGGCUGUGGCAUUGCAACAAUGCUCAAUUGGUACCAAGGGGCCCAAAGAGUGCCAAGAAAAUAUUCCCCACACCAUGACACCACCACCACCAGCCUGAACCGUUGAUACAAGGCAGGAUGGAUCCAUGCUUUCAUGUUGUUGACGCCAAAUUCUGACCCUACCAGCCGAAUGUCGCAGCAGAAAUCGAGACUCAUCAGACCAGGCAACGUUUUUCCAAUCUUCUAUUGUCCAAUUUCGAUGAGCUUGUGCAAAUUGUAGCCUCAGUUUCCUGUUCUUAGCUGAAAGGAGUGGCACCCGGCGUGGUCUUCUGCUGCUGUAGCCCAUCUGCCUCAAAGUUUGACGUACUGUGCAUUCAGAGAUGCUCUUCUGCCUACCUUGGUUGUAACGGGUGGUUAUUUGAGUCACUGUUGCCUUUCUAUCAGCUCGAACCAGUCUGGCCAUUCUCCUCUGACCUCUGGCAUCAACAAAGCAUUUCCGCCCACAGAACUGCCGCUCACUGGAUAUUUUUUCUUUUUCGGACCAUUCUCUGUAAACCCUAGAGAUGGUUGUGCGUGAAAAUCCCAGUAGAUCAGCAGUUUCUGAAAUACUCAGACCAGCCCUUCUGGCACCAACAACCAUGCCACGUUCAAAGUCACUCAAAUCACCUUUCUUCCCCAUACUGAUGCUCGGUUUGAACUGCAGGAGAUUGUCUUGACCAUGUCUACAUGCCUAAAUGCACUAAGUUGCCGCCAUGUGAUUGGCUGAUUAGAAAUUAAGUGUUAACGAGCAGUUGGACAGGUGUACCUAAUAAAGUGGCCGGUGAGUGUAUUUGUCUCUUGAAUCUACUCAACCAUGUGUAACACUCUGACAGGAAUUAUUUUAGAGAUUAUCGACCCAUGAAUCAUGAGUUAUGAGAUGAUUGUAGUGAUUGUGUUUGUGGAAACUAACAGCUUGGACUUGUGAACAAAAACACAGACAUUUUUACUUGUUACUUUUCUUCCGUAACUGAAUUGUAAACCAGUACCUCCAGGAAGCCCAGUGCCAUGUUCCCAUAAGACCAACUAGUUCCUGGGCCUUUCUCGUGAUCUGGCAGUGUAGGCCAAUGACAGCAACAAAUCCCCAGAUUCUCCUUGCACAUAUUCAACAGCCUUCAAUCAGGGCUGUACGACUAUCAGAUUUUUUAAAAAUCAUAAUUAUCAUGGCUUAAACUUAAACUAAAACUUAAGUAAUAACCAUAUUGUAUUAACAGACAACCCUAACAAAACAACACUAUCUGUUAGAUUAAGGACAGGCAAGACAAGAGUCAAGCAACACAUAAGGUCAUUAGAUUAGAUCAGAAUAGAUUAUUAUUGAUCCUUUUGGAGGAGUCUCUCAAGGGAAUUUAAAACUUUUCACUUCAUUUUUAUACAAAAUUGAUUUAGAUACAUCACAACACAGUGAGGUUGCAGUGAAAUUAGACACCCUCGGUUCCAACAAUCACAGAAAAAAUGGCAAAAAUCCCGGAGGUGUUAUUUAAACACAAAUACAUCUUGUUGGGUCUCACUCUUGUUUGAACGAUUCCUGCAUUCUCUUUUCGUUCUGUUUCUGGUAGUGAAGAAAUUCAAGUGUAAGUUUCUCAUUUGAUGUUUGUAAUGUUGUAUCAUUAAGCGUUUGAGAUGAGGUUUGGAACAUUAGGAUGGAUCCAGAACUAUCAGCAUGGACUGAGUGAAUAUAAGAGGAACUUUUUAUACUUUAUUUUCAUACUCUGGUUGUACAUUUUCUUUUUUAUUCUUUAUGGAAAUUUUUGGAGCCACACAGAACAACACAUAUCCUGUUGAGGAGUCUAUGUUCUAGGAAAAUAUGUGUAUUUUCAUAAUGCAUCAUUUUAGCAGGUUUAUUUCUGAAGAAGCUUUCAUACUUUGCUUUUAAAUACCUUUAUGAAUGUAGUUUGAGAGAAAAAGGAUCUAAAGUUUAUUAUUUGUUUAAAAAAAUGCUGGGCAUUCUGAAUGGUGAAUGUAAUGAUGUUUCCAGUGUUAUAUUGAGCGUUAAAAGGGCACAGUGUUUGGUAUCUGUAUAAAGACUGACUGCAAAAUGACCUUGUUGUCUUUCUCUGUUAUUCUUACAGGUUUUUUUUUAAACAUCCUUAAGCAUGCUUAAACUUUUUUCAAGCA